CAGCCGCCGCGGUAAUACGUAGGUGGCAAGCGUUGUCCGGAUUUACUGGGUGUAAAGGGUGCGUAGGCGGGGCAGCAAGUUGGAUGUGAAAUCCUCGGGCUCAACUCGAGAACUGCAUUCAAAACUGUUGCUCUUGAGUGCAGUAGAGGCAAGCGGAAUUCCCGGUGUAGCGGUGAAAUGCGCAGAGAUCGGGAGGAACACCAGUGGCGAAGGCGGCUUGCUGGGCUGUUACUGACGCUGAGGCACGAAAGCAUGGGUAGCAAACAGGAUUAGAUACCCUGGUAGUCCAUGCUGUAAACGAUGAUUACUAGGUGUGGGUGGACUGACCCCAUCCGUGCCGGAGUUAACACAUUAAGUAAUCCACCUGGGGAGUACGCCGGCAACGGUGAAACUCAAAGGAAUUGGCGGGGGAGCAC
rnacentral:rRNA from 1 species